rnacentral:lncRNA from 1 species
UGUUGGUCCUAGUGAACCAAUAAUAUCUACAUUCGGUGAAGAAUUCCCAAGAAACGAGUUCUCGUUAAGUCUUGCCACUGAUGUUUCUGAUGAGUGCUCGGAGAUAAGUCUUUGUGCUGCUACUAAAUCUACUAGAAUAACCUCAGAGCAAGCUUCUUCCAGCAGCAAAGACAUGUCAAACGUCUCUCAAGUCAUAUUUUGCUCCAAGUACCUUCACUCUGUUCAAGAAAUACUAUCUCAUUUCGCCACAUACUCCCUCAAAGGCUUAGAGACUAAUCCUCAGUGCUACUUUUCAUCUCGAGGAACCGAGUCAGAGGGUACAAACUCAGCCUUUACUUCAUGUUAUGAGAAUCUAAACGAGUUUCUUGAUGGCGGUUCUCAAAGACAAGCAUUAGAAGCAAAGAAAACCCAUCUCUUGGAUCUUCUUCAAAUGGUAUAAUAAUAUAUAUUCACACAUUGUUACAUAAGCUAAGAAAUUAUUUACUAAUUACUGAAAGUUUUUUCGAGUUGAUUUUUGUCUUCAGGUUGAUGACCGAUAUAGUCAUUGCGUUGACGAGAUUCAUACGGUUGUAUCAGCGUUCCAUGCAGCAACCGAGUUAGAUCCUCAGCUACACACCCGGUUUGCACUCCAAACCAUCUCCUUCUUAUACAAGAACCUAAGAGAGAGGAUCAGCAAGAAGAUACUCAUGAUGGGAUCAGUUUUAGAGAGAGGCAAAGAGAAGUCUCAAGAAGACUCAAUCUUCCACCAGCAUUGCCUUCUUCAGCAGCUAAAACGUAAAAACCAUCAGGUUUGGAGACCGCAACGAGGUUUGCCUGAGAAAUCAGUCUCGGUUCUACGGACUUGGAUGUUCCAAAACUUUCUUCACCCGUAAGAAUCCCUUAAACUCUUUCUUAAGUCUAUACUUUGUGAUGACAUUUGUUAGCUAAGCAAAUGAUAUUGUUGUAUAGUUACCCGAAAGAUUCAGAGAAACAUCUUCUUGCCAUACGAAGUGGAUUGACAAGAAGUCAGGUAUGUUUCGACUUUAGAACGUAUGUUUGUUACUUAGACCUAAGCAGCAAGUGUUAUAAGUGUGUCUUGUUUGUUGUGUGUGAUGAAAGGUAUCAAACUGGUUUAUAAAUGCGCGGGUAAGACUAUGGAAGCCGAUGAUAGAAGAUAUGUACGCAGAAAUGAACAAGAGGAAGAUGAGUAACACUCACCUUCAAGGCGGUAAUGGAGGAAGUGUUAUUAGAGUGCCAAAGUCUGUAAUGAUGAGCCAAGAAAGGGGCAAAAUAAGAGAAUGAUUGUGUGUGUAAACUUUGUUUACGCAAAAUCGCUACUUAUAAUUGUCAGAGGUUUAGAGCACUUUACUAUGUAUUAUGAUUGUUUUUUUGACUUUUUUUUGUUAUAAUUGUAUAUACAGCUUGUUCUUUUAUAUCAUAGUAUAUUGCUGUUUUGUAAUUUGCAUCAUGUGUUAUCAACUAUUCAUCGUCUAAAAAUGUAACAAGUUCUUGAAAUAGUGUAAAAGCCAAGAUGGCAGUGAAAACAAAUCAAAGUUGCAAAAAAAACCGUGGAUAAUGAGCAUAUUUGAAGUUUUAAUGUGUUAUUUUCCAAAAGUAAAACUUCAAACCUAACUUCAAAAUUAUUUAUAUUUUACACUAUAGUCCUUGUAUUUGUCAUAGUUGAUGUAAAUUCAUAAAACUUCUACAAAUAACUAGUACAUAUAUAUAAAUAUUACAGAAAUAUUAAUUAAAAAAAUUUUACACUAAAAUAUAAAAUUAUAAAUAAAAGUACAUAAUUAAAUAUUAAACUGCAAGCAAAUAGUAUAUUAUUCCAUAAAAUUAUUUCCGUAAUGCUCUCAUAUAUGAUCAACUAGUGCAUUUCGAAGUAAGAAAUGAUUCUCUUUAUUUUUUAAUUGUAGAUUACGAGCCAAAAAUUGUUGAAAUCGGAUAUCCUCAUAAUAUACCCGCUGAUAGUUUGAUAUCAUCAAACGAAAAAAAUCCUUGAUCUUUUAAACGAAAGUACAAUAAGCAUGGAAAAAGGUCAUGGGGUGAUUGAAUUACGACUGAAAAAUGAAGCAAAAAAGUUAGCUUUUAAAGAAGUAAAAGAGGAAAAUAAAAUAUUGCUAAAAAAACUUAGCUUCUAUCGAUGAUGUUAAUAUUCGUGAAUACAUUCGAUCUGAACAAGAAAGAAUCGUACGAAAAAGCGUCAAGAGCAACAACAACAAUCAUCUUCGGUUACACAAAAUUUGUUUGGGCAAUAUUUUGGAGAUUUGAGAGGUUCUGGAGCAAAUUUACCAGACUAUUAGUGUUGUUAUAAUAUUUAAACUUGAGUAAUAAUUAUGUCUUCAUGUGUCUUUUUAAUAAGUUUUUAUUAUGGUUUUUUGUAAUAUUCUUGUUGUUUAAUUCUAGUUUUAAAAUAUUAUAAAUCUUUUUAAAUUUUUUUUAUUAAUUUCACGUGUAAAACUUAAAUUUAUAAAACAAAUUUGAAUAUUUAUGAGAUAUAAAAGUUUUAAGGAUUAAAACAAUAAACAAAAAAAUAUUUAAGAAUUGUAAGGACCGAAAUGCAAAUAAAAAGAUGAAACUUCAAAUUUGAAGUUUUGAAAAGUGAAACUCUAUAUUUGGAGUUUCACUCUUCAAAACUUUGAAGUUUUGAAGUUUUUUUUUUUUAGAGCAAAAAACUCUAUAUUUGGAGUUAUANNNNNNNNNNNNNNNNNNNNNNNNNNNNNNNNNNNNNNNNNNNNNNNNNNNNNNNNNNNNNNNNNNNNNNNNNNNNNNNNNNNNNNNNNNNNNNNNNNNNNNNNNNNNNNNNNNNNNNNNNNNNNNNNNNNNNNNNNNNNNNNNNNNNNNNNNNNNNNNNNNNNNNNNNNNNNNNNNNNNNNNNNNNNNNNNNNNNNNNNNNNNNNNNNNNNNNCGUAAAAUGAGAUUUGAUGGCACAAGACAAAGACACGAGUGGUGAGAAAAGAAAGAAGAAAGAAGCAAUAACCCAAAUGGAUCACACAUCUCAUCAAUUCUCCUUAAAUGGCUAAAAAAAAUCUCACCUCUCUUUACUUUUUUCCCUCUUUCUGAUAAUUGAAACCAGCACAAGAGGACAAAACCUAUUUUCUUGUUAUUUUAUAAAUCGACUUAUUAUAUAACUCUAUACACACAUGCAUAACAUAUAGGGACAUGCAAAUAGUAAAAUAUAGUAGGGUCUCUUCCCUUAUUUAAAGCCUGCAACAGAAAUGAGUGCACUUCUCUGUAGUAAACAGUAGCACAUCGGUCUUCUUCGUGUCUUUGGAUUUUCUUUUUAGAUUUGGUUUCAACCAUAUAUCAUAUGAGCCACAUUUCUCUCUACGAUCAACAUUUUUAAGUGAUAUAAAUCAUAUAAUAAGGAAAAUAUAUAAGAUUUGAUUCUGGUUUAUCUUUUUCUGAAUUUGUUUCUGGUCGGAAGAUCUAGUAAAUAUUUGAUAAUGGAUUCAUGUCAUAAACAGAGGGAGCUCCGUACGUGAUUUGGCCCUCUUUUAUUUUACACAUAUCUCUUGAAUUCAUUUUUUAUUUUCUUUUCCCGGGGAAAUAGUUUAUUUGUUUAUUAUAAAGUAUGCUGCUAUGUGUUAAGUCUAGUGGUCUGAAUCUUGAAGUGAGGCAGGGGAUGAAGACGAUGAGUUUCUUCAUGAAAAUGUAUUAAAGUAAGGUGAAAAUCUGAACCUUUUGAAUAGUUUGCGUUCAUGCAAAAGAGAUUAACCAGACUCACUUUUCUCUUUUCCAGCUUUGUUGUAUCAUCUUUAUCAUUUAUUUUUUUAUGCAAUAUAUAAUAGUUUUUAUAGUUGAUUUAUCCUUUUUUGCUUUCUUUAGGAGCACAGAGAAGCUGCGGAGUGAAAGUACAGUGUUCUUUCACUGAGAAAGAAGAGAAACAAACACUUUCAUCUUCUUCAAUUUUAACACAAAUUUUGGAAAUGCUUAUGUAAAAUUCUGCUUGCAACGGCUUGUUCUCUGAGAUGUUCCCAGAGGUGUUAUCAGAAGAAGAAGUAUAAAGGCAAGUUCAACACUUUUAAUGCUCUAUGGACAUUUGUAGUAAACUAAUGCUUUUAUUUUAUUUAUUAAACUAGUUUACUGCUUUGCACAGAUAUCUUUGAAUUAUUACUGGUGUGUGCAUUAUUGAGCCUACUCACUGUCUAAUUAAUUCAUGCUUCAGUUCACAUUUACCUAUAUGUUUAUGAAACAGUUAAUGAUAUAGUUCUUCUUACAUUGAGUUCUGUUUAGUACUAUUCUCCAAAGAUUUGGUUUCUGAGAUCUUCUGAAAAUACUUUUGUCUGAGUCUUAAAAACUUCUAUUAUUGUUAAUGCAGUUUCAUUAGACCCAAUGGACAACAUCAGCACUUAUAGUUCUCUGGACAAUGUUAUAACUAACCCAAACCAUCUUCUCAUGGAUUUGAUACCUUCAAGAGAAGAUUCCACAUCAUUUCCAACAAUGCUUCCAUGGAAUUCCAUCAGACAAGAUCCUCUACAAAUGGGUGGCUUUGAUAUCUUCAACUCUUUUCUCACUAACAAGUACUUAUCAUCUACUUCAAGAUCUACAAAUGUUCAUGAGACCAGCUUUGAGGCCAUGGCUCCUCCUCCUUCACUUCAUCCUAUGGAUCAUCUAAGACCAUAUGAUGAUCCCUCAAACAACAUGUGGAGUCUUGGUGAAAAUAGUGAGUUUCAUGCAUAUCCAUUCAUAGAAGGUGUUGUUGGUCCUAGUGAACCAAUAAUAUCUACAUUCGGUGAAGAAUUCCCAAGAAACGAGUUCUCGUUAAGUCUUGCCACUGAUGUUUCUGAUGAGUGCUCGGAGAUAAGUCUUUGUGCUGCUACUAAAUCUACUAGAAUAACCUCAGAGCAAGCUUCUUCCAGCAGCAAAGACAUGUCAAACGUCUCUCAAGUCAUAUUUUGCUCCAAGUACCUUCACUCUGUUCAAGAAAUACUAUCUCAUUUCGCCACAUACUCCCUCAAAGGCUUAGAGACUAAUCCUCAGUGCUACUUUUCAUCUCGAGGAACCGAGUCAGAGGGUACAAACUCAGCCUUUACUUCAUGUUAUGAGAAUCUAAACGAGUUUCUUGAUGGCGGUUCUCAAAGACAAGCAUUAGAAGCAAAGAAAACCCAUCUCUUGGAUCUUCUUCAAAUGGUAUAAUAAUAUAUAUUCACACAUUGUUACAUAAGCUAAGAAAUUAUUUACUAAUUACUGAAAGUUUUUUCGAGUUGAUUUUUGUCUUCAGGUUGAUGACCGAUAUAGUCAUUGCGUUGACGAGAUUCAUACGGUUGUAUCAGCGUUCCAUGCAGCAACCGAGUUAGAUCCUCAGCUACACACCCGGUUUGCACUCCAAACCAUCUCCUUCUUAUACAAGAACCUAAGAGAGAGGAUCAGCAAGAAGAUACUCAUGAUGGGAUCAGUUUUAGAGAGAGGCAAAGAGAAGUCUCAAGAAGACUCAAUCUUCCACCAGCAUUGCCUUCUUCAGCAGCUAAAACGUAAAAACCAUCAGGUUUGGAGACCGCAACGAGGUUUGCCUGAGAAAUCAGUCUCGGUUCUACGGACUUGGAUGUUCCAAAACUUUCUUCACCCGUAAGAAUCCCUUAAACUCUUUCUUAAGUCUAUACUUUGUGAUGACAUUUGUUAGCUAAGCAAAUGAUAUUGUUGUAUAGUUACCCGAAAGAUUCAGAGAAACAUCUUCUUGCCAUACGAAGUGGAUUGACAAGAAGUCAGGUAUGUUUCGACUUUAGAACGUAUGUUUGUUACUUAGACCUAAGCAGCAAGUGUUAUAAGUGUGUCUUGUUUGUUGUGUGUGAUGAAAGGUAUCAAACUGGUUUAUAAAUGCGCGGGUAAGACUAUGGAAGCCGAUGAUAGAAGAUAUGUACGCAGAAAUGAACAAGAGGAAGAUGAGUAACACUCACCUUCAAGGCGGUAAUGGAGGAAGUGUUAUUAGAGUGCCAAAGUCUGUAAUGAUGAGCCAAGAAAGGGGCAAAAUAAGAGAAUGAUUGUGUGUGUAAACUUUGUUUACGCAAAAUCGCUACUUAUAAUUGUCAGAGGUUUAGAGCACUUUACUAUGUAUUAUGAUUGUUUUUUUGACUUUUUUUUGUUAUAAUUGUAUAUACAGCUUGUUCUUUUAUAUCAUAGUAUAUUGCUGUUUUGUAAUUUGCAUCAUGUGUUAUCAACUAUUCAUCGUCUAAAAAUGUAACAAGUUCUUGAAAUAGUGUAAAAGCCAAGAUGGCAGUGAAAACAAAUCAAAGUUGCAAAAAAAACCGUGGAUAAUGAGCAUAUUUGAAGUUUUAAUGUGUUAUUUUCCAAAAGUAAAACUUCAAACCUAACUUCAAAAUUAUUUAUAUUUUACACUAUAGUCCUUGUAUUUGUCAUAGUUGAUGUAAAUUCAUAAAACUUCUACAAAUAACUAGUACAUAUAUAUAAAUAUUACAGAAAUAUUAAUUAAAAAAAUUUUACACUAAAAUAUAAAAUUAUAAAUAAAAGUACAUAAUUAAAUAUUAAACUGCAAGCAAAUAGUAUAUUAUUCCAUAAAAUUAUUUCCGUAAUGCUCUCAUAUAUGAUCAACUAGUGCAUUUCGAAGUAAGAAAUGAUUCUCUUUAUUUUUUAAUUGUAGAUUACGAGCCAAAAAUUGUUGAAAUCGGAUAUCCUCAUAAUAUACCCGCUGAUAGUUUGAUAUCAUCAAACGAAAAAAAUCCUUGAUCUUUUAAACGAAAGUACAAUAAGCAUGGAAAAAGGUCAUGGGGUGAUUGAAUUACGACUGAAAAAUGAAGCAAAAAAGUUAGCUUUUAAAGAAGUAAAAGAGGAAAAUAAAAUAUUGCUAAAAAAACUUAGCUUCUAUCGAUGAUGUUAAUAUUCGUGAAUACAUUCGAUCUGAACAAGAAAGAAUCGUACGAAAAAGCGUCAAGAGCAACAACAACAAUCAUCUUCGGUUACACAAAAUUUGUUUGGGCAAUAUUUUGGAGAUUUGAGAGGUUCUGGAGCAAAUUUACCAGACUAUUAGUGUUGUUAUAAUAUUUAAACUUGAGUAAUAAUUAUGUCUUCAUGUGUCUUUUUAAUAAGUUUUUAUUAUGGUUUUUUGUAAUAUUCUUGUUGUUUAAUUCUAGUUUUAAAAUAUUAUAAAUCUUUUUAAAUUUUUUUUAUUAAUUUCACGUGUAAAACUUAAAUUUAUAAAACAAAUUUGAAUAUUUAUGAGAUAUAAAAGUUUUAAGGAUUAAAACAAUAAACAAAAAAAUAUUUAAGAAUUGUAAGGACCGAAAUGCAAAUAAAAAGAUGAAACUUCAAAUUUGAAGUUUUGAAAAGUGAAACUCUAUAUUUGGAGUUUCACUCUUCAAAACUUUGAAGUUUUGAAGUUUUUUUUUUUUAGAGCAAAAAACUCUAUAUUUGGAGUUAUAAUUAUAAGACACAACCAUGAAGUAGUUAUUACAGUGAUUGGCAGAUAAUGUGUUCAUCAACGGCUGCAAACAUAGACAAAACAGAAACAAACAGACGCAACCAAUUACCGUCACUUGGUUUUCUCUUUAAGAGAGGAAAUCCACUUGCCCCUCCUGGCCUCCAUUUUUUCCAGACGUUGGAGACCUUUAACGAAGCGCUGAAAUUAAAAUGAGAAGAAGACUUAUAUAGGAAAGAAAGAAGAAGAAAAAGAUUUUAACCCAAUCCCUUGAGGUUAUUUCCCUCUUCAUAUUCCCGGAGCCCCUUAGAGACGGGGCUUGUUGUCACACCACCUGACGAAGACGGUUUUUAGUGAACCCAAAAAAUCUAUAUAUAUAUAUAUAUAUAUAUAAAAAUAUUACAAACCACAUACCGAGCAGGAAUCCAGCACCACCAAAGACCGCUGUGAAGCAGUAUCGAUAAACUUUCGAGACAGCUAACAAACAAAAAGUUGAUUCCAACGAGAAUUAGAAACAAAAAAUUUGACUUGAGGAGAGAUAUUGAUAUGCCAAUAAAUAAUGAGAUACCUUUCUCACUCCCGGAUGAAAAAUCACGACACUGCAGCCUCCCCUUGCGGCAAGACUGCAUAUUUAUUCAUUCAUCCUCAGUGAACAGAGACAAAAGCAAAAUUAAAAUCAAACACACCCAGAGACAAAGAUCUCUCUGGAUUACCUUAGCCAAGGUGUUUCCCAGGAACGGCAACAUCUUCUUUUGUCCUCGUCGAAUUGGAGAGCCUAGGGUUUCAAGAUUAGGGAUCUUAGUUCCAAAUUUAUUAUUAAAAAGUGUUACUUCCGUGCUAUACACGGCUCGAAUCUAGUAGAUUUUUAAAAUAUUAUUCCACAAAAACACAUAGGCAAUAAUAUUCGACAAACCCUUAUUUAGUGAUCAGACUAUUUGACGUUAUCCACUAUACAACAACAAGUUCCAAAUUUUAUUAUAUAGGGUAUUACAAUAACAAUAAUAUAAAGAGUAGAAUGUUUAAAAUAUAAUCGAGGAAAACAGCGAAAAAUUGCUAUCUAGAUUUAUAUUAAUAUAAGCCAUAUAAAACGUUAUAUUGAUUAUGGUUGUACAUGGAUAAACGUAUAAUGUAUGUGAACGUAAAUUUCAUAUCAUUGUUGUUGGAAAAAACCAAUGAAACCCUUACUUCUUCCUUUUGAUAAUGUCAUGUAGCUCCUUAUUUUGUAAGUCAGCCACAAAUGAAAAGUAAAUAAUUUUUUUUUGUCUGAGAGCACCAUGGUAUAAAUUUUGUUUGUCAGAGAUACAACGUAGAAAAGAAAGAAGAGUAGGUUUGAAACAUAUAGGAGAUGAACAAAAAAAAACAGUUUAAAAACACCAAACGAACACAAGACAAGAAGCACGCCACCACUAAAUUAGUACGAGAGUGUGGAUAAAACACCAAACGAGCCAACACAAAAGACAAUCAAUUGUCGCCUAGACAUUAUCAUCCAGUUCCUGCCAUUCAUGAAAUAAAACAAUUGGUUUCAACAUAAGAUUUUACCAAAUAAUAAUAAAAUGUAUCAAACUUGACUUACCUUUUCAAUACGGGCACGUUUCCCUUCAAGACGCUUCUUCUCAUCAUCAAUAAAUCUGUGAACUCUGUACCAAUCCUCUCUUCGCUUGAGAACAUCUGAAACAUCCAUUCAUUGGAAACAGGAAAGAGAAAUAGUUACAUUCUAGAGAAUUAAUGUUGGAGACAUAAUUCAAAGAACCAUACUUAUGUUAGCUUUGACGAACCAUCCACCAAUGAACGCUAAACCAAGAACUAAUUUGUCCUGCUCCUCCCAAGCAUGCUUGACCCUCGUGGACAUGGGGGAAGAGGCGAUGGAUGAGAUCCCUUUCCGACAAUACUGCAUAUCUCGACGACACAGACAAGACUACAAUCACGAAUACAGAGAAAUCGAGAGGGGGAUCCGGUAUACAAGAAUAAUUCUUAGCUUAACCUUGACCAAAAUCGUUUGCGCCUGCUUCAUCAUCAUCUUUUGUUCCGCUGAGUGGCUUCCUUUGGGUGUAAAAUUAGGGCUUCUGCUUUCCUUUGUUAGUUUAUUUACUUGUGGCCCAAAUCAAAGCACUACUCGUAGGGGUGUUCAAUCCGGAUAUCGGUUCGGUUUCGGUUCGGUUUUUUCUGGUUUUCGGUAUUUCGGUUAGUAAAAUAUAACUACCAUUCUAAAUCCACAUUUACUUCGGUUCGGUUCGGUUUAUAAACCGCCGGUUUUCGGUUUAUUCGGUUUUAUACCAAAACAUAAUUAUUUAGUUUGAGAUCAUAUUAUAUAAAUUUUAGAGUCAUAUUGUCAUUGCAGUCAUUUGUUAAAAAUAUAUUAUAUUUUAAAAUAAAAGAACAAAAAAAUAAAAACGCUUAUACCUACAAAUGAAAUAAUCAAAUCUAGAAUUAAAAUCAAAGCUCGAAAUUUUGAAAAAAAAAAAGAGAAGUAUGAAAGAAAAUGUUUCUACUCUUCCAUAUUCAGUGUUCAUCAAAUUCAUACUUCAUCGAGUGAAACUCUGUUCGUUUAUAAAUAAGAAAAAAAUUGUGAAGAAUUUUUUCUAGUUAUUAUCCAUCAAAUUUAUAACCUUCACUUCAAUUUAAUCAAUGAUAAAAGAAAACAAAAUGAUUAAAAGAAGAAGACUAAGAAAAUAAAAAGUCUCAGUUAUGAUGAAUUGUUAUUUAAUUAUAUUUUAAGUGUUUUUCAAAUUAUGAUUCUUUAUUUCUAUAAAAAUAUGGUAAUAAUUAUUAACAAAAGAAUAACUUAUAUAACAAAUAUAUUUUUCAUGUGACGUUAUAAAAUAUGUAUAUAUUUACAUGUUUUUACUUUUGAUCGGUUUUAUUCGGUUUAUUCGGUUUAAUCGAUUAUAAACCAAACCAUAUCCAAAUCCUACGGUUUUUAUAAAAUCAUAUCCAUUCGGUUUAUAUGGUAUAUACCAAAACCAUACCAUAUUGUCUAUUUCGGUUCGGUUCGGUUCGGUAUAGUUCGGUUUUACCAUAUUGCACGGGCCUCGUGUUUCCUUAAAUGAUUUGAAUCAAUUUUUGUAAUAAAUAUAUCUUUUAUGUAUUUUAUAAUUCUACAAAUUGAUCAUGUUUUUUUUUAGAAUUUCUUCUUUUUUAAAAGAAAAAAUCUCUGUUUUCUUAUCAUAUUAUUUUCAAAAAAAAUUAUAUUGCAAAUUUGUUUUCAUAAGGUAGUGAAAAAUUGAAUCUUGAGGGUGGUAAGUUCAUUUUCCACAGAACAGUUCUCCUCUAGCCCCAUCCUGAAAAUGCUAUAUCGCUCUUUAGAUUCUCAUAUACCGCAGGUCAUCCGUGAGACCAACUCAUGAUUGGCCGAUAAGGCAGAAGCUCUUCACUUUGGAUGUUCUGUACUUUCCCGACAAACCGAAUCCUGAUAACUGUCCUCAAGGUGUGUAUGGCUCUCUUGUCGAUGCUGUAGAACAUGUUUCAGACAUGUCUAAUAACGUCUUCUAGGUUAUAUUUGGCUUAACGUAAAACAGUUAGUUUCAUGCAUAUCCAUACGUAGAAGCAGAGCCGGGCUUGUGGGUAUGCUUUCGAAACAUUUGAAUGGGUCUAGGGCCGUCAAUCUGGUUGGAUGCCCAUGUAUUUCAUGGUCCAGUUGGGCUGAACACCAAAUUUGCCCAUGGACAAGUUGGGCCAAUCCAAUUGCAUAAUGGAUUAACCCAUUAAAAAAUAGGUUUUUUAAUAUUGGAAGAAAAUUGAAAAAUCAAUUAUACGAUUCAUCUGCGAUUUUGUGACUUGAUUUCUCCGGCCUGAACCAGAUUUCUCCAUUAUAUAAAGAGCAAUUCUCAUAAAUAGACUAUUUUCAAGUUUUGAUCACAAAAAUAGACCACAAGGAGGAAAAUGACCAAAAUAUUUCAUUUAAUAAGUAAAAGGACCAUAAUACUCUAGAUAUAUAAAAAACUAAAAAAAAAAAAAAAAUUUAAAAAUAUUAAAAAAUGAAAAAAAAAAUUAUAUAGUUUUAGAUUAUAUGUUUUUAAAUUCGAACUUUUUUAUAAAAACAUUUUUUUUAAAAAAAAAUUAAUUUUUUUUUUCAAAUUUUCUUUUUGUAAUUCGAAAAUACUUUUUGAAACUAUUUUAAAAAAUUUUUAUUUUCAAGUUUUUAAUAUUUAUUUUUAUUUUAUAAAAUUUUAAAUCUCAAUCCCAAAUCACCACCCCUUAACUCUAAACUCUAAGGUUUGGAUUAGUUAACCCUAUGGGUAUAAGUGUAUAUUUACUUCUUUAAUGAAACAUUUUAUAAAACAGAGUUAUAAUUUUGUUUUACAUAAAACAGAGAGUUAUAAUUUUUUUAAUAUAAAACAGAGAGUUAUAAUUUUUUUUACAUAAAACACAGGUAUAAAAAAUUGAAGUCUAUUGAAUUUAUUUUACAUCAUAUUUGUAUUUAUAAUUUUUCAACGACAUUAAAAUUAGACUUAGAUUGAGUUUAAACAGAUUUACUUAUAAUUGGGCGGGUUUGGGCUGUCCAGUUGGGUGAAGUUGAGUUUGAGUAUUAUUGGGUAUGGGCUAAAUAUGGGUGUGGGUGUUUUGGGUCUAGAAAAAUAUAUGCUCAACUGGAUAAACCCAUUUGGGUGUUGGGCCGCCAGUUAACAGCCCUAAUGGCCCCCAUUUGGUGGGGCCCCUUUAAAAAAAAAAUUAUUUGUAUAUAUAGGUGUAUUUAUUGUAUUAAAUAGUGUUAAAUAUAUAAAGUAAGAAAUAGUUUAUAUAAUAAUAAAAUUGUUAAUGUAUUCUAUGUACAAGUUUAAUAAUAUAAUUAAAAUAAAUAUAUAUUUUUAUGUUAGUAAACUUCAAACUUUAUAUUUUAAAGAAAUUUACAUUAGUUUUUACUAAAAAUAUCUUUAAUUUUAAAUUAAAAAGAAAUUUGAAUAGGGCCCCCACACCUCUAGGACCGGCUUUGCGUAGAAGGUGUUGUUGGUCUUAGUGAACCAAUAAUAUCUACAUUCGGUGGUUUCAUGCCACAGAUGUUUCUGAUGAGUGCUCGGAGAUAAGUUUUUGUGCUGCUACUGAAUCUACUAGAGGAACCUCAGAGAAGCUUCUUCCAGCACCAAAGACGUUUCUAAUAACGUCUCUCAAGUCAUAUUUGGCUCAAAGUACCUUCACUCUGUUCAAGAAAUACUAUCUCAUUUCGCCACAUACUCCCUCAACGGCAAUGCUACUUCUCAUCUCGAGGAACCGAGUCAGAGGGUACAAACUCAG